AUUGAACGCUGGCGGCAUGCCUUACACAUGCAAGUCGAACGGUAACGCGGGGCAACCUGGCGACGAGUGGCGAACGGGUGAGUAAUGUAUCGGAACGUGCCCAGUUGUGGGGGAUAACUGCUCGAAAGAGCAGCUAAUACCGCAUACGACCUGAGGGUGAAAGCGGGGGAUCGCAAGGCCUCGCGCAAUUGGAGCGGCCGAUAUCAGAUUAGGUAGUUGGUGGGGUAAAGGCUCACCAAGCCAACGAUCUGUAGCUGGUCUGAGAGGACGACCAGCCACACUGGGACUGAGACACGGCCCAGACUCCUACGGGAGGCAGGAGUGGGGAAUGUUAGACAAUGGACGCAAGUAUGAUCCAGCCAUGCCGCGUGCGGGAAGAAGGCCUUCGGGUUGUAAACCGCUUUUGUCAGGGAAGAAACGCUCUGGGUUAAUACCUCGGGGUAAUGACGGUACCUGAAGAAUAAGCACCGGCUAACUACGUGCCAGCCGCCGCGGUAAUAC
rnacentral:rRNA from 1 species